AAGGUGAUGCCUGCCCUGUGACUUAGUGUUUAACGGCCGCGGUAUCCUAACCGUGCAAAGGUAGCGCAAUCAAUUGUCUCAUAAAUCGGGACCAGUAUGAAUGGCUAAACGAGGUCUUAACUGUCUCUUACAGGCGAUCGGUGAAAUUGAUCUCCCUGUGCAAAAGCAGGGAUAACUACAUAAGACGAGAAGACCCUGUGGAGCUUAAAAAUCAGCAGCCACCCCUUCACACAUUCACACCCACUGGGUACACGCUCAUACAGGGAACUGGCCUGCAUUUUUCGGUUGGGGCGACCUUGGAGAAAAACAAAUCCUCCAAAAAUUAGACCACAACUCUAGACUGAGAGCGACCCCUCAACGUGCGAAUAGCACCCAGACCCAAUAUAAUUGAUCAAUGGACCAAGUUACCCCAGGGAUAACAGCGCAAUCUCCUCCGAGAGUCCGUAUCGACGGGGAGGUUUACGACCUCGAUGUUGGAUCAGGACAUCCUAGUGGUGCAGCCGCUACUAAGGGUUCG
rnacentral:rRNA from 1 species